GAUGAAGACGUAGCGAAAUGCGAUAAGUAAUGUGAAUUGCAGAAUUCAGUGAAUCAUCGAAUCUUUGAACGCACAUUGCGCCCCCCAGUAUUCUGGCGGGCAUGCCUGUUCGAGCGUCAUUUCAACCAUCAAGCCCUGCUUGUGUUGGGGUCCUGCGGCUGCCCGCAGGCCCUGAAAACCAGUGGCGGGCUCGCUAGUCACACCGAGCGCAGUAGCACAUCUCGCUCAGGGCGUGCGGCGGGCUCCAGCCGUUAAAGCACCCACCUUUCGCAAGGUUGACCUCGGAUCAGGUAGGAAUACCCGCUGAACUUAAGCAUAUCAAUAAGCGGAGGA
rnacentral:misc_RNA from 1 species